rnacentral:lncRNA from 1 species
UUAAGCUUCAUCUGUUCUUCCCCUUGUCAUAUGCAAAAUAUUCAUCAUCUAAUCUGCAUAUUGGGAAUGACAACUAAGCCAUACAAUCCAAGAAAAUCUGUGUAUUUCUGCUCUGAAAACUUUAACUUUUGAUAACUGCGAAACAUCAAAUACCUCAGUUAAGGUAAUUUAAAAAAAAGCAAGUGAAGAAUUCCAUCUCUUCUGUUACUGGUCUAGUCUAUGUAUUCUCAAGGAAGAAUUCCAUGAGGAGAUUUGAUGGUUCGGAAGAUGGUAAUGGAUUGUCAGGGAACCAGCUGAACAGGCUGCUUCUGAACAUGAUUCAUCAUCUCUUGAAACAGAUGAACUUUUCAGAUACCCACAGUGUUCUCCCAGUUGGAGGCAUUUAGCUUUUCACCAUGCGCCUUCACCUGCAACCUCCCAACGCCUGAAGUCACCAAGUCCUGUUCGAAGUCUCUCUCCUCUUCAAUACAGGUUGCACUCCGGUGUGGAUUUCAGCUGGGAGAAGAUCAACGAGCGGGUGCGGAGUCUCCUCACCUCAGCACAGGCCAAGCAGCGGCUUUCCUCUGUCUGCAGACUGUUUAUUUGCUACACCUGGCAACUGCCACAUAGGCACGUGGCUCCCAGCUCCCUGCCUAGCUACAAGUGAAAGGGUUUGAAGAGAGAGGGUUAGAUGCUUCAACCCGAGGAAAGUUACACAGUCAAGAAACAGGCUCUCAAGUGAUACUUCCCACAGCUUUUUGUUUCAGCACCUGGAGCGGCAUUUCUUAAUCUGUUUACCUCCUUAGGUAGAGCAGUGGGAAAACUCAAUAUCCAAUCAUAAGCUUGUUUAGCAAGAAUUGGAGGCUGCGAGGAGGUGGAAAACUGCGCAACAGUUACUUCAGCCACAGCAGCAGGAAUGCAUUUCCAGUAAUAUGCUGUGCUUACUGUCRUAGGCAUUUAGCUUGCCUUCUCAACUGGAAGCCCUAGUUCUUCACUUAGCAACACUAUGUGCCAAUCCUCUUAAGAAAGUAAGAGUUUAUUUUCACUCUCAACUAUGAAACACAAGAGGGACAGCAACAAAAACUGCCAACCUGCUAUUAGAAAAAGGUACCUGCGAAAGACAGAGAAUAAUUC